rnacentral:rRNA from 1 species
GACGAACGCUGGCGGCGUGCUUAACACAUGCAAGUCGAACGGUGAAGCCUUCGGGUGGAUCAGUGGCGAACGGGUGAGUAACACGUGAGCAAUCUGCCCUUGACUCUGGGAUAACUUCGGGAAACCGGAGCUAAUACCGGAUAUGACAUCUGGCCGCAUGGUCUGGGUGUGGAAAGAUUUAUCGGUCAAGGAUGAGCUCGCGGCCUAUCAGCUUGUUGGUGGGGAAUGGCCCACCAAGGCGACGACGGUAGCCGGCCUGAGAGGGCGACCGGCCACACUGGGACUGAGACACGGCCCAGACUCCUACGGGAGGCAGCAGUGGGGAAUAUUGCGCAAUGGGCGGAAGCCUGACGCAGCGACGCCGCGUGAGGGAUGAAGGCCUCGGUCGUAA